rnacentral:rRNA from 1 species
GAUGAACGCUGGCGGCGUGCCUAAUACAUGCAAGUCGAGCGAACAGACGAGGAGCUUGCUCCUCUGACGUUAGCGGCGGACGGGUGAGUAACACGUGGAUAACCUACCUAUAAGACUGGGAUAACUUCGGGAAACCGGCGCUAAUACCGCAUAAUAUAUUCAACCGCAUGGUUCAAUAGUGAAAGACGGUUUUGCUGUCACUUAUAGAUGGAUCCGCGCCGCAUUAGCUAGUUGGUAAGGUAACGGCUUACCAAGGCAACGAUUCGUAGCCGACCUGAGAGGGUGUUCGGCCACACUGGAACUGAGACACGGUCCAGACUCCUACGGGAAGCAGCAGUAGGGAAUCUUCCGCAAUGGGCGAAAGCUUGACGGAGCAACGCCGCGUGAGUGAUGAAGGUCUUCGGAUCGUAAAACUCUGUUAUUAGGGAAGAACAAAUGUGUAAGUAACUAUGCACGUCUUGACGGUACCUAAUCAGAAAGCCACGGCUAACUACGUG